rnacentral:lncRNA from 7 species
GACAUCGGAGAUAAACCAGCCCAAACUCACCGGUCAUCGUGAGAUUCCUGGGAACAGCAUGGUGAGGUUUUCACAGAAAUCUUCCUUGGCUUCCUUGAAGCCAUUAAGUGCUUCAACCGCUCCAAAGGUAACCAGCUGCAGGAUAUUCUGAAUGACUGAAAACAUGAUCAAAAAACAACAGUGUGAGCCAGGGAAAACUCUGGCAGGAGAGCACCACCCACACAAAGAAAUACUUACUAAAUUCAUCUCGGAGACAGGAUAUCUGCUCAACUUAGGGGAGUUCUUUCUGCUCAGUGGGAAAAUCAACCGGAAGAUGUGCAGCAGUCAUAACAAGACAGAGCUUGUGCAGUAGUCAGAGUCUCACACAUCCUUUCCUGCUGGGUCCCCAACUCUUCCUGGAAGAAACUGAGGAUGGAGCCUUUCACAUCCAGGAUAUUACAUGAAAGUUGCACAGAAAACUGAUAUAUCUCCAAUGACUCACCUGCACCUUUGGAAAAGUCAGAAUGACAUGGAUGAGAUGACCUACAUACACACCUUUUAGUCACAGUUACUCUUGAUGUUGAAAUCUGUUCAGCCUGCAUUUUUGCUCUACAGAGAGCAAAAGAGAAAGAGGACGAAUAUACAGUCUUCAGAGCAGCAGUGGUGACUGUCCUCCUCCUGGGCUCCUUCCCAGUCCCCAGAACAAUUGUUUUUGGGAAACCCAGGCUAUUUGUUUCCAUCUCCAUCAACUCCCUGUGAUACAAACUACUGCACUGUUUACUGGAAGAGCCUGAACAGAAAGUCUACAACUUCAUAUCCACUAGAGCUUGGUUCAGUUCUUUUGCAUUUACAGAAGGCUGGCAGUGAAAUAGCAAAUUGUAUAAUGAGCUUCAAAGGGUCAUGCUGAUAUGAAAUGCAGAGACAGCCCUGAAAUCUGCUGAGGAACCACCCAGAAAGAGCCUGUACAUGCUCAAAUUUCUCACAUCCACCACGUAGCAAUGCAUUCUGCUAACAAGACCAACUAAAUGAACAUUUCUUUUGCUUGUACUUCAAAUUCUUCAUCAAAUGCUGUUUCAGUUUGCUUCACUGCAAUACUGGAAAAUGCCAGGUGUAUCUGGCAGUGUAGGAUAUAUGUAGCUCCCAGAAGUGCCCUGUACAUUUGCAAGAAAUGAAAUUAUUAAUUAUCUCUGUAUUUAUGUACCUAUUUGAUUCACAAGCUUGAUAGGUUCACUCUAGUGGCUGAUUUACGUGAAUGUUCCUGGGACUGCAUUACUGCAUAAUUAAUCUUUAUAGCAAAGUGGCCUUGUUUCCACAUGGAUGCUGCUUAAAAAAUUGCAUUCAUUUGCACUAUGGAGGCAUAGGCAAUAGGUGGAAAUAUCAAAAUGAGCUGUUCACUCCCUGUUCUGAAAUGGAUGAAAUCUAAAGCUAGUCUUCAUCUAGAUUGGAAGAAGAUGAUCCAGAGAUAUAGCACAGGAAAACCUCACUGAUAUAAAGCUGGGAGGAGUGACU